AGAUUGUUUUCAAAUUAUCAUAAUAAUGACACUAUUCAAUAGUUCAUAUUAUUUGUAAUAAUCGGAGUUUAUCUUAAGUCUCCUUAUAAAGUUGAACAGUGGUAAAAUAUACUGAUGUAACUUGAAUCUUAACUAGAUUUUUCUAACAAUAAUAAAUUUGAAUGUACAAUUAAGUUAAAUUCAAUGUAUUAGCAUUGGUAUCAAAGGAAUGAAUUAUUAUAUGGAUGUAAAUAGUGAUUGUUAACAUUGUUGUUCAUUAUCAUGGUGUACAGUUAUAACAUUACAUAUAUCUUUGUUGCAAAUUAUUGUUAUACCUUGAAAUUAUCAUCUGAGUCAACAGAUUUCAUUCAUUGUACAAAAUCACUUUGUAUUUAUAAAAUUGACAAAACAAAUGGCAGCAAUCGUAAUAAAUUUCAUUCCUUGUUUAAGAUAUUUCAAAUUUUGUCUUGUUCUUGUUCAUCAAACAUAGUUACCAUUAGAGCUAAAGACUACUGUUAUUAACAGCAAGAGUAUGUACUGUAUAUUUUAUAGAAAGUAGAUAAUCCAUAUGAAUGGACAUUUUUUUUAAAGGGAGAUUUCUUGUGCUUUGCAUACAUUGGCUUAAAUCAUAAAUUGAUUAUUUAUAAGGAAUACGAUGAAAAAGUUUAAGCUUGGAUGGACAUUUGGGUAUUUUACAGAACUUGUGCAAGACAUUAUUUGAAACAUUUUUUUGUUGGUUCUCAUGUUGAUGAAAAAUUGUACAUAUAUAAAGAAGAAAUAUUUAUUUUCAUGUUUUGUUGUUUUAUAUAAAAUAUUUUUUGUUUGGUGUGUUUAUACACAAUUUAUUAAAACAACCAAUUUAUUGGUGUAUUUUUUAAAGAUAAGGAUAAAAGUUCAUAAAAUUGACACAAAAACCUCACACAAAUUUCUUUCCAUAUGAUAAAAGGUUAAAGGGAGGAAAAUGUGAUGCCACAUUCAUUUAUGUUUAGAGUUUAUAUAUUGAAUUAUGUAAGGAGACUUCAUCCUCAAGAACUAUAAACAUUUAGUAAAACCAAAAUUAUCAGAAUAAAAAUUUGCUGCUACUCAUGCUAUUUAAGAAAAGAGAAUAUAAUUUUUAGAAUGAAAGGAGGAAUUCAGUUUAUUUCUUUUUGGUUUGUAAUGGAAGUAUUCAAUCAAAAUAAAAAAAAGACAGAAUAAUUAGUAAAUAAUAUUUUUCUUUGAAAAAAUGAUAAAUGUUUUAUUUAUUGGAGAUCAAUCAAUUUCUUGAAGUACAUCCCCUUGUUGAUAAAGUACAAGUAGUGGGUGCACGUAAUUUACAUUUCGAAAGUAUAUUAGUCAUCAACACUUGCUUUCAUUUCACUAUUAACUCAAAUGAAUCAAAAUAUGCCUUACAGCAUUACUACAAACUGCAGCAGUUUAUCAGUUCAUCAGUAUUGCCAAAAUUAUGCAACAUUAUGUUAUACCUGUAAGCAUACAUUGACAUUGUAAAUAUUUUGUAAGUGCUUUAUGAUUUUGCUGUGUUAAGCUUAUAUAGUCUCUUUACAUGAAACUGUAGUGCAAUCUAAAUCUGCAUUUUUGUGGAUAAAUAAAAUAUUUUAG
rnacentral:lncRNA from 1 species